GCACUGCUGAUGAGACCCAACUGGGUUGAAACAGCUGUCCAGUGC
rnacentral:hammerhead_ribozyme from 1 species